rnacentral:lncRNA from 1 species
UUGCACCACGACAACCAUGGACAGCAAUCUGCCUGCCAUGGCGCCAAAACUCAACAUUCAGCAGGCCAUGGAUCCACUGCUAUCCACGGAAAUCAUGGUAGCCACGGCCAGCAGACUGCAUGCCAUGGCGCAAAAACUCAACAUUCAGCAGGCCAUGGCUCCACUGCUAUGCAUGGAAAUCAUGCUAAGGGACAGAACACUGCAUGCCAUGAUGCUAAAACUCAACAUUCAGCAGGCCAUGGCUCCACUGUUGGGCAUGGAAAUCAUGCUAAGGGCCAGAACACUGCAUGCCAUGGCACCAAAACUCAACAUUCAGCAAGCCAUGGAUCCACUGCUACUAAUGGAAAUCAUGCUAAGGGCCAGAUCACUGCAUGCCAUGGCGCCAAAACUCAACAUUCAACAGGCCAUGGCUCCACUGCUAUGCACGGAAGUCAUGGUAGCCACAACCAGCAGACUGUGUGCCAUGGCUCGAAGAAGGAAGGGGGCAUCAUGCAUAAGAUAGGUAGUCAGCUGAAGACC